UACGUAGGGUGCGAGCGUUAAUCGGAAUUACUGGGCGUAAAGCGUGCGCAGGCGGUUUUGUAAGACAGAUGUGAAAUCCCCGGGCUCAACCUGGGAACUGCAUUUGUGACUGCACGGCUCGAGUGCGGCAGAGGGGGAUGGAAUUCCGCGUGUAGCAGUGAAAUGCGUAGAUAUGCGGAGGAACACCGAUGGCGAAGGCAAUCCCCUGGGCCUGCACUGACGCUCAUGCACGAAAGCGUGGGGAGCAAACAGG
rnacentral:rRNA from 1 species